UAGAGCACUGUUUCGGCUAGGGGGCCAUCCCGGCUUACCAACCCGAUGCAAACUGCGAAUACCGGAGAAUGUUAUCACGGGAGACACACGGCGGGUGCUAACGUCCGUCGUGAAGAGGGAAACAACCCAGACCGCCAGCUAAGGUCCCAAAGUCAUGGUUAAGUGGGAAACGAUGUGGGAAGGCCCAGACAGCCAGGAUGUUGGCUUAGAAGCAGCCAUCAUUUAAAGAAAGCGUAAUAGCUCACUGGUCGAGUCGGCCUGCGCGGAAGAUGUAACGGGGCUAAACCAUGCACCGAAGCUGCGGCAGCGACACUCAGGUGUUGUUGGGUAGGGGAGCGUUCUGUAAGCCUGUGAAGGUGGCCUGUGAGGGUUGCUGGAGGUAUCAGAAGUGCGAAUGCUGACAUAAGUAACGAUAAAGCGGGUGAAAAGCCCGCUCGCCGGAAGACCAAGGGUUCCUGUCCAACGUUAAUCGGGGCAGGGUGAGUCGACCCCUAAGGCGAGGCCGAAAGGCGUAGUCGAUGGGAAACGGGUUAAUAUUCCCGUACUUGGUGUUACUGCGAAGGGGGGACGGAGAAGGCUAUGUUGGCCGGGCGA
rnacentral:rRNA from 1 species